rnacentral:tRNA from 1 species
GCCAGUGUGGCACAGUGUUUUGAGCAUUGGACUGUGACUCUGGAGACCAGGGUUCGAUUCCCAUCUCAGCCA